UCCAAGGACCAAUCACAAUAAAGAAAUUCAGCACCAAGGCAGUUCAGACCAGUGCACCAGUCUUUACAACGUUCGUCUGUCACUGCAAAAGGAGUGGCAGAGGAGCGUGGUGUGGUAGCGUCAAGUGGUGACACAUCACCAGAGCCGCAACAGAAAUUGCAGCCAUUGCUUCACGUUUUGCAUCAGGGAUGUCCCGAGUGACACAUUCCAUGUGGGAGGAAGCACCGUAAUUGCUUUGCCUACCAGAAUCUGUGGGGCAUGCCUUUGCACUUAGGAUAACUUGAAGCUGUUCUCGGUGUGAUUGCGCAUUGAUCAUGCCCUGGGUGUUGCUGGUAAGCGGAGCCACCAGGCUGAGCAAAGCCACCUGAAAAGCAACUUCAAUACUGCUAACACCUUACAGUCUUCACGUUCGAGUACGGUGCAGGCAAUGAAACACUCUGAUACUACUGAACACAAUUGCUUUCAGACAUCUAGAGCAAAGUUGCACGUGACCACUGACGGCCUUCUUGAUUUUCAUGAAAGAGAAAGGUCGAAAAAAUUCCAGCUUUGAAGCGAUCCUAUGUAAAAAUCACAAUGCUUCACUUGUAUUGCCAUGAAAUACAUCAUGAAAGAGCAGUGCUACUGUGCUUUGAAAAAUAACUGGCA